rnacentral:rRNA from 1 species
GAUGAACGCUGGCGGCGUGCCUAAUACAUGCAAGUCGAGCGAACAGAUGAGGAGCUUGCUCCUCUGACGUUAGCGGCGGACGGGUGAGUAACACGUGGAUAACCUACCUAUAAGACUGGGAUAACUUCGGGAAACCGGAGCUAAUACCGGAUAAUAUAUUGAACCGCAUGGUUCAAUAGUGAAAGACGGUUUUGCUGUCACUUAUAGAUGGAUCCGCGCCGCAUUAGCUAGUUGGUAAGGUAACGGCUUACCAAGGCAACGAUGCAUAUCCGACCUGAGAGGGUGAUCGGCCACACUGGAACUGAGACACGUUCCAGACUCCUACGGGAGGCAGCAGUAGGGAAUCUUCCGCAAUGGGCGAAAGCCUGACGGAGCAACGCCGCGUGAGUGAUGAAGGUCUUCGGAUCGUAAAACUCUGUUAUUAGGGAAGAACAAAUGUGUAAGUAACUAUGCACGUCUUGACGGUACCUAAUCAGAAAGCCACGGCUAACUACGUG